GACAGAGGGUGCAAACGUUGUUCGGAAUUACUGGGCGUAAAGCGCGUGUAGGCGGCUUGGCAAGUCGGGUGUGAAAGCCCUGGGCUCAACCUAGGAAGUGCACUCGAAACUGCCUCGCUGGAGUGCCGGAGAGGAAAGCGGAAUUCUCGGUGUAGAGGUGAAAUUCGUAGAUAUCGAGAGGAACACCGGUGGCGAAGGCGGUCUUCUGG
rnacentral:rRNA from 1 species